rnacentral:lncRNA from 1 species
CAUCAUUUCCGUCGACCUCACCAAUGGGGCGAGUUGUCCUCCUAUUGAUUGGCUUACAUUGUUGUUGGUUUCAAACUUCAUUUCUUACUCUGUCUCCCUUCUGUAGUUCACAUAGUUGUCCAUUCACAUCAUCAUCACCAUUACUGUCGCACAUCGUCAAGCCCUCUCAGCCAUCCCAAUGGACGAGCUGCUUUUCCAUCGUUAAGAAUUACAUUGUGGGUUGCUGUUCACCCACUAUCAAACAGUAGAACUUCUCUCUCUAUCUCUAUCUCUCUUCUUUCACUUUUCUGUGAUAUGAUUCACUUGUUUAUAUCACUUGGAUGUUUUCCAAUGUUUGCUGAAUUUCCAUUUUCAUGGUUUUGUUCUCAGAUUAUUUCCUUUUGAAGACAAUUCCC